GAUGAACGCUAGCUACAGGCUUAACACAUGCAAGUCGAGGGACCGGCGCACGGGUGAGUAACACGUAUCCAACCUGUCCUUUACUCGGGGAUAGCCUUUCGAAAGAAAGAUUCAUACCCGAUACAAUGGAUGGGGAGGCUUUCCAUUAGUUUGUUGGUGAGGUAACGGCUAACCAAGCCUUCGAUGGAUAGGGGUGCUGAGAGGAAGGUCCCCCACAUUGGAACUGAGACACGGUCCAACCUCGUACGGGAGGCAGCAGUGAGGAAUAGUGGGCAAUGGGCGCUAGCCUGAACCAGCCAAGUAGCGUGAAGGAUGAAGGCUUAUGGGUCGUAAACUUCUUUUAUAUAAGAAUAUGUAUUAUACGAAUAAGGAUCGGCUAACUCCGGGCCAGCAGCCGCGGUAAUAC
rnacentral:rRNA from 1 species